GCCGCUUUAGCUCAGUUGGUAGAGCAGACGAUUCGUAAUCGUCAGGUCGAGUGUUCGAGUCACUCAAGCGGCACCA
rnacentral:tRNA from 2 species